AUACGGAGGGUGCAAGCGUUACUCGGAAUCACUGGGCGUAAAGCGCGCGCAGGCGGGCUGAUAAGUUGGAUGUGAAAGCCUACGGCUCAACCGUAGAACUGCAUCCAAAACUGGCAGUCUAGAGUGUGGGAGAGGAAGAUGGAAUUAGUUGUGUAGGGGUAAAAUCCGUAGAGAUAACUAGGAAUACCAAAAGCGAAGGCAAUCUUCUGGAACACUACUGACGCUGAGGCGCGAAGGCGUGGGGAGCAAACAGGAUUAGAAACCCUAGUAGUCC
rnacentral:rRNA from 1 species